CAUCCCUAUUGGCCGUUUAUCUAAAUUCUCAUUCGUGUCUCACCUUAUUACUGCGUUUAGUUGUCGCGUUUUGGCGGAGACCUGUCACUUUUCUGGGCCUCUGGCACCGCCGUGGCAGGGCCGACUUUGUUCUUUCGUGUUGAGUUACACAGUUCUGGAUCACGCCAUUUCUGCAGAGACGAUAUCUUCAUAUCGUGCAGAAAAAUUUUAAACUGUCAGGCUCUGACCACAAUGUUAUUAAUGCCAACUUUGUAUGGAUGAUAUGAUAACUCCUCUGUACCGAUCCAUAUUGGGGGUUCGGCUGACGAAGUCUUCAAGAACCUUCGAGAUUUAGAUCCCAUUUUUUCCCAUCAUUACUACCUCUCUCUCGCGUAGGGUGUCGUGAUUCUCUUGGGCUGCUUGUGAGUUAGACUUGUGUAGAUGCAAGCAGCCAAGUGGAAGGAGGAUACUUCAUGAAGAAGGAUAGAAACACGAGGGUUUAUUUCUCCUUUUACGUGCACGUGAACUCUCCAACAACUCAUAGGGUGGAGACCGGCAUGUAUGUCCACGACAGCAACUACAAGGAGCAGUGCCAGAGGUCACUUGAACGGUUUCCACGGAUCUUGAAUUUGUCGGAUGCUGUUCUGGUUUGUCGAGAGAUAUCGAAGGAUACGGUUAGAUAACAAAUUGCCGUUUGGCAAGUGGACGACGCUCAAGCUCCCUGUCAAGGCAAACUGGAAGCAUCAUUUUCAACUAGUAGAUCUGUUGUCAGUUGCCAUGUGGCACAGUCAGCGAUUGAUGGAAUUGUAUCCCAAAAAAAAGCAACAGUCCCUACAAACGGAACGAUCUAUCGUCGCCUUUCGGUAAUUUCGAGAAACCAGAAAAUUGGGCUCCAAUUGAACAAACACCGCACUCGUGUGAAAGAUGCCAGUGGUUUCAAUUCCUGCAAUGAUAGGAAAAACGUGAACAGGCGAUGCUACGUACAGACAGCGGAAAUACACUUUGACUGCCUGGGAACAUGUCAGCGACAAACUGUCCUGGCGGUAUCUCAAGCUUGUUAUCCUCGCUUCUUGAGACAUCAUGUCGCCUGCAUGUUGCGCAGAUACAAGGAAAUACGGUGACUCUUACUGAAGCGGGUAUCAGUUGAGAUGCCGCCCAAGCCAGAGUAGGCUGUCUCUGUCAGUUCCGUC
rnacentral:lncRNA from 1 species